rnacentral:tRNA from 1 species
GGGGCUGUAGCUCAAUCGGUUAGAGCAGCGGACUCAUAAUCCGUUGGUUCUGGGUUCAAGUCCCAGCGGCCCCA